rnacentral:tRNA from 1 species
GGUGGCUGAGUGAUUGAGGCAAUGAACUGCUAAUUCAUUAUGCUUUGCACAUGUGUGUUCAAAUCCCAUCC